rnacentral:miRNA from 1 species
CAAUCAACAUUCAUUGCUGUCGGUGGGUUU